AACAGAGAGAGCGGCGUACGGGUGCGUAACACGUGUGCAACCUACCUUUAUCAGGGGAAUAGCCUUUCGAAAGGAAGAUUAAUACUCCAUAAUAUAUUUGAUGGCAUCAUUAGAUAUUGAAAACUCCGGUGGAUAGAGAUGGGCACGCGCAAGAUUAGAUAGUUGGUGAGGUAACGGCUCACCAAGUCUGUGAUCUUUAGGGGUCCUGAGAGGGAGAUCCCCCACACUGGUACUGAGACACGGACCAGACUCCUACGGGAGGCAGCAGUGAGGAAUAUUGGACAAUGGGUGAGAGCCUGAUCCAGCCAUCCCGCGUGAAGGAUUAAGGUCCUACGGAUUGUAAACUUCUUUUGUACAGGAAUAAACCUAUUUACGUGUAAAUAGCUGAAGGUACUGUACAAUAAGCACCGGCUAACUCCGUGCCAGCAGCCGCGGUAAUACGGAGGGUGCAAGCGUUAUCCGGAUUUAUUGGGUUUAAAGGGUCCGCAGGCGGACUGAUAAGUCAGUGGUGAAAUCUCAUAGCUUAACUAUGAAACUGCCAUUGAUACUGUUGGUCUUGAGU
rnacentral:rRNA from 1 species